AACCGUGUGAACUGGGUUGGAGGUUGCUUCUACUAGCCUCCCCAGUAGACGACAACGCAUUUUUCCCCAUCACCAUUUCUUCCCCGCGAGGAAGAGGACCAUCUCCAUUUGCGAGUGCAUCAAGAUAUGCAAGCUCGAAUCACAACCGAAGAACUGGCUGCCGUGGAAGCUCCGGUGGAUUCGAGCCGGAGGUUGCAUUUUUCGCCUCCGGCGGCUUUCAAUCAAUUGGAUGGGAAUGCAGAAAUUAUUCCCAGGUUAGCGGUGUCACUGCAGCCAGAUCCUGACGGGGGCGCUGCAGAUUCCUCGCCUGGGGCAGCCAAUCGGGCAUGUGAUCCUCUAUUCCUCUCCGUUUGUUGGACGACUCCGAAAUCGAGCUACAUACGCCGCGGGCAGUAUCUCUGGCCGAGCACGGGGUGGUUCUGUCAUCGCUGGAGAAACAAUAAACAACCAGCUCGUCGGAGAACCGCGGCAUGGGAGACGGAAAUCAGCUAGGGAUGGGCCAAGUGCUCGUAUAGCUCCUAAUGAGGAGAGGGCUGUUUUAUUAGCACUGAAGCGUGGUUGCAAAAAGCCCUGGUGGUACAAUUUUCUAUCCAGAUGAAGGCACAAUCUUCAACAGUUGUGAAGAAGCAAGAGAAUUCUACAACCUAUAUUAAUGGGAAGUUGGAUUUGGUAUUAGGUAUGGUAGAAGUAACAAGAACAUCAAAGGAUACGCAACAAGGCAAGACAUUGUCUGUUCAUGCGAGGGAUUUGACAGACAGUCAAAUGCUGCAUCAAUAAGGACAUGAUGCAAGACAAUGAUAAGACUGCUACGGACCAGUGAUCAUGCUUGGUACAUUAGCAGAAUCUGUGAUGUCCACAACCACAAGCUGUCGGAAGGUUUCCCGGGAAAAAACAAACAGUGGAAUUCACACAACACCAUUGAUGCAACCCCAAAGCAUUUCGUUCAGAAAUUGAGGGAGAACAAUGUAAGCAUUGGAAGGGCAUGUAGCAUCCUAAAGGUAUCAAAUGCUAACCCUGCUCAGCACAUCAGGAAGGAAACAAUCAGAGCAUUGCGUGCAAAAUUAUCAAGAGAAAAUUUGCAAGAUGAUAUUGGCAAAACACUUAAACUACUCGAUGAGAUGAAACGAAGUGAUCCUCACAUGUUAGUUAGGUUUAAGCUAGAUGGUGAGGGAACCAUACGCUCCAUGUUUUGGUGUACAGGGAAGAACAAGGUGGACUAUGAGCACUUUGGCGAUGCUAUAACAUUCGACACAACUUACAAAACCAACCUAUGCAGCUUGCCUUUUGGUUUCUUUGUGGGUAUUAACAACCAUUUUCAGUCCAUAAUUUUUGGGGGUGUAAUGCUGACCAGCGAGACCACAGAAGAAUGUUAGUGGGCAUUCACAAAUUUUGUAGAAGUGAUGGUCAUUCUGCCCCACGGACAAUGCUCAUAGAUCAAUGUGCAGCCAUGGCAAAGGUAUAAGGGCGGUGCUGCCUAACACAAUGCAUCGAUGGUGCAGAUGGCAUGUUUUCAAAAGUGCAAAGAAGAAGAAGCUAGGGAAAGUAUAUUCGAAAAACAAGAAAUUCAAGGCAGAGUUCAGUUCAGUGAUCUGAUAACAAAUGAGACGAACAAGGAGAAAUUCGAGGAUUGCUGGGCCAAGCUAAUCAAAGGCACAACCUGACCAAAAGUAGAUUCUUGAAACGCCUUUAUAAACACCGGGAGAGGUGGGCAAAAUCAAUCGAGAAGAGGAAGAAGGAUGAUAGGUUUACAAUGGAUCCUUCAAUACAAGACCGGCAUGCGGAGGAAAAUCCGCCGAAUAAGAAGACUAAGCGUAUACGAGACCUAUUCGGAUUAUGAUAUUCAGAAAGGCUUAAAUAAUGUAUUGAGGACUCCCUCAUCUAGUCUUUUGACUCUGCAAUGAACCUAUUACAAUAUAAUUUCUUUGGUGCUA